CAUGAAUGGGGCGGAAGCUGCCAGUUAUAUUUACGGGAGCAGGCCAAUGUUUAUCAAGCCUUAGUCUAAUCCCCAGUGUGUAUAUUAGGAAGUAGAAUAUAUUAGAAGUGGUUGGACUGAUUGUGGCGUGGACUGACUUCUGAUGAUGUCACAUACUGACCUACUACACAAUAUAAUUCUACAAAAGGUCAUUAUAGGAAAUGACUACAAAAUGGUUGCAGUUAAAUUUCU